rnacentral:rRNA from 1 species
CCUACGGGAGGCAGCAGUCGGGAAUAUUGCUCAAUGGGGGAAACUCUGACCCAGUGACGCAGCGUGCAGGAUGAAGGUUUUCGGGUUGUAAACUUCUUUAUACAGGGGAGAAACACGACAGUACCUGUAGGAUAAGCUCCUGCUAACUACGUGCCAGCAGCCUCGGUAAUACGUAGGGAGCAAGGGUUAUCCGGAUGUAUUGGGUGUAAAGGGUGCGUAGACGGGAAGUCAAGGUGGUUGUGAAAUCCCUCGGCUUAACGGAGGAACUGCAACGAAAACUAACGUUCUUGAGUGCUGGAGAGGAAAGUGGAAUUCGUAGUGUAGCGGUGAAAUGCGUAGAUAUUAGGAGGAACACCAGUGGCGAAGGCGACUUUCUGGACAGUAACUGACGUUGAGGCACGAAAGUGUGGGGAGCAAACAGGAUUAGAUACCCGAGUAGUC